AAGGAUGUAGCACUGCGUUUGUUUUGGGUACAAAUUGUCACUGGUUCAAAUCUUAUCAUCUUUA
rfam:Gossypium raimondii Chr05_contig_961, whole genome shotgun sequence.